rnacentral:rRNA from 1 species
CCUACGGGGAGCAGCAGUGGGGAAUAUUGGACAAUGGGCGAAAGCCUGAUCCAGCCAUGCCGCGUGUGUGAAGAAGGCCUUCGGGUUGUAAAGCACUUUCAGUGGGGAAGAAAGCCUUGGGGCUAAUACCCUCGAGGAAGGACAUCACCCACAGAAGAAGCACCGGCUAACUCCGUGCCAGCAGCCGCGGUAAUACGGAGGGUGCGAGCGUUAAUCGGAAUUACUGGGCGUAAAGCGCGCGUAGGCGGUCUGAUAAGCCGGUUGUGAAAGCCCCGGGCUCAACCUGGGAACGGCAUCCGGAACUGUCAGGCUAGAGUGCAGGAGAGGAAGGUAGAAUUCCCGGUGUAGCGGUGAAAUGCGUAGAGAUCGGGAGGAAUACCAGCGGCGAAGGCGGCCUUCUGGACUGACACUGACGCUGAGGUGCGAAAGCGUGGGUAGCAAACAGGAUUAGAUACCCCUGUAGUC